UACAGAGGUCUCAAGCGUUGUUCGGAUUCAUUGGGCGUAAAGGGUGUGUAGGUGGCGCUGUAAGUCGGGUGUGAAAUUUCGGAGCUUAACUCCGAAACUGCAUUCGAUACUGCGGUGCUUGAGGACUGGAGAGGAGACUGGAAUUCAUGGUGUAGCAGUGAAAUGCGUAGAGAUCAUGAGGAAGACCAGUGGCGAAGGCGGGUCUCUGGACAAGUUCCGUGACACUGAGGCACGAAGGCCAGGGGAGCAAACGGG
rnacentral:rRNA from 1 species